rnacentral:lncRNA from 1 species
UUUGGAGUAAGGGAUGGUCAAAACCAUUCCCCUGUCACCAAUCAGGUUGCUGGAGGGUCAGGAAAAGAGAAAACAGGAAGUUGGUGUUUCAGCAGGAAACAAAGUUAGUUAGUUACUGGUUUGGAGGAUCUUUCUGUUGUUUCUGCCCCUUCUGUGGGGUCAGCAGUGGGGGUAGUGAGUGUUUGGCCCCUUGGGUCUGGGAAACCUGCCCCCCAGCAGGAGCUGUCCAGGUAACUCUCCCUCCAGGGCAGAUGGUUCAGUGCUCUCUGCUGCUCUCACCUGCAGCCUCUGCUGUAGGGUGAAAGCUAGUUCUGGUUCUCUGUGGGGAAAAAUAGUUGCCUACUGCCACCCCUGUCCAGCACAGGCGGUGAACUAAGGUCACUCGUGUGAAUUUGGGGUGACGCAAAAUAAAGCACAGACACGAAAUACCUUUACACAAGCUUCAGGACAACUUUCCCCAGCUCCCGGCCUCAAGUUCCCCAAAAGGAGAGCAAGAGAAAGUCACAGAGGCUGGCGAGAGAGAGGACAAGCACAUUCAGAAGUGGGCUUUUAUUUGGGGGGAUGCUGUUUUUGAGAAAGUUCUAUCCAAAAAAGGCAGAAGGCAGCAGGUGAGUAUAACUCAAUCCCAGCGGUACACCUACACCUGAAGCCAUGCCUUGCUAUCUCAGCUGGGACAAUAUGAAAGUCACUAAGAAAUGUAGUAAUUGGUCAGAGCCCCCUGUGUCAGGACUUGAAGGUGUGUUCAUUCAGAGUGGCUCCCCACAGCCUGCAAUUUCACUGGAACAUUUGUAGAAAAGAGUGGAGAUCAGAUGUUCAUAUUUCCAAAUUUCUUCUCUAAAUGUUCAUACCCAAUAAAAAUAUUUCCAUUUUCAGCUCAUCUUUUUUCCCUUCUUCUUCUUUUAGAAGUAGUGAGGAUUUACCCAGGGGUGCUCUACCACUGAGCUACACCUCCAAGGUUGUGGCCUGUGUGAGUCCCUGCUACGGAUGGGGGGAAAAAGGUGAGGCAGUCUCAGGAAGCAGAACCCCUUGGAGAGUAGCUGAUUUCCUGGGGCAGAUGGGCCAGGUAGGCCCUAGGAGGGUAAAGUACAGAUUAGGGACCUGAGUAAGUGUUGGGGGUCAGGGAUUCUGCUGUGUGUGGGCUGCUUCAGGUCAGGUGAGCAGCAGACCAGAGGGGAGGCAUGUUUUCCUGGCUGGGCCUGCUGGUGCCCCUGGGCUUCCUGGUGGGCUUUCCAGUUAGGAGCUUCUGGCUCAGGGCUGAGAGGAAAGGAUGCUGAGCUGCAGCUGGAGCAGACCCUGCUUGGUGAGCACCUGCCCCUGCAGCAGAGGAGGCCUUGGAUAUUAAAGGGGUAAAGGCCUAUGUGUGAACCCUGUGCCCAGGAUUGGCAGGAGCAGGAACUUUCUUCUAUGGCAGGUCCCUAUUCUGUCAGGAAUGGUUGGGCAGAGGAGAGGCACUGGGCUUCACUUUGGGAUCUUGUCUCUUACUUCUUUGGUCUUUCAUUCCCUUGAGUGAUGCAUGGUGGAAACUGAGGCAGGUGAGGCUGCUGGUAGAUUUAGGAGAGGAGGCUGGUGAGGAAAACUAGUGGGGGCAUUUUCUUCUCUCACUCAAACUCUGAAUCUGAUUUUGGAGAGUCUGAGAAAGGAGAGGUCCUGAGGAAUAAAUGUCAUAUUCUGCAGUCAUUUGAACACUGACUUUUAUCUUCUCCCUUAGCUCAGGAGCUCACAAGUCCUGAAUCAUCAGCAGAUGGUGAAGAGGAACCAUAACAGCACCUUGCAGCUUGUGUCAAGCUUCCAGGAUGAUGCUGUGGAGCACAUCUGCCCUGAAGAGUUGGAGCCCUAGUGUGAUGAACUGGAGGAUCACAUUGAUGGACAGGACAGGGUUGGAACUUUGAGGUGUCCUUAUGCUGAGCAAUAGGGGUCAGUUGGCCUGGGGGAAAAAAAAUGACUGGCAGGUGCUUAUGGACUAAGAUGUUGAGAGUAAGCGACCCAGAAUGUGUGUGAAUCAGACACCAGCAUUGGCCACCUUUGGUCCAGCUGAAGCAUGCAGAGUGGUGGGGAAGAAGACACUCCAUUUUGAAGAAUAUGACUUUUUAUCCCUAGGGACAUUUCUCUUCUCAGAGUCUCCAAAAUCAGAUUCAGAGUCUCUGUGAGAGAAGAAAAUGCCCCCGCUAUUCAUCCUCACCACCUCCUCUCCUAGAUCUCUCCUGCAUCUUAGUUGUUCCUGAUUCCUAGUCUUGCAGUCUCCAGGUGCACCUGGCCCAGAGACUCAACAGGGGUGGGCACCCUCUGUCUUCAGCAAGAAUAGGUUCAGGACCCACCUGGAAGCAAGAGCCUGGUGAGGGACCUUGCUUGUGCCUGUGCUUCCUAAGGGAACAAUUGGGAAGCUCGAUAGGUAAUUUAUUCAUGCACAUAUAUAUUUUUUAAAUUUGUUGGUAUUGAGGAUUGAAUCCAAGGCUAUCACAUGCCAGACAAGCAGUCUACCCCAGAGGUACAUCCUCAGCGAUUUUCGCUUUUUGAGAAAUGAUCUCAGUACUGUGCCCAGGUUGAACUCACACUUUCAAUCUGGCCUCAGCCUCCUGAGUAGCUGGAAUUGCAGGUGUGUGCGCCAUACUGAGACCCUCAUACACUAUUAUCCAGAGGUGUGUUUGUUGACAUCAUCGUUCAUAUUUUAAUUUUAGUAUUUAAGUAUUGUAUUUGCUUAUUCUGAAUUAUUAUUUAUUGUUCUGAGUUUUCAUUUUGCAUAAACUUUUUAAAAUUUUAGGGCUGGGGAUGUGGCUCAAGCGGUAGCGUGCUCACCUGGCAUGCAUGAGGCGCUGGGUUCGAUCCUCAGCACCACAUACAAAUAAAGAUGUUGUGUUCACCGAAAACUAAAAAAUAAAUAUUAAAAAAUUCUCUCUCUCUUUCUCUCUCUCUCAAAAAAAAUUAAUUCAAGUUAGUUUUUUCUAAUUAAAGAGUGAACUAUUUAUGUAAGAUUUUUCAUGAAAAGUAAAGACCCUCUUUGUCUCUUCUUGAUUUUCUACCUUCUUUGGUACUACAACUUUCAAUGUUUUAGCUGAUUCUUUUGUUGUUGUUGUUGUUAUUGUUGUUUUUACUAGAGAUUGAACUCCGGGCUAACACAUUCUGGGCAAACGCAUUACCAUGAGCUGCAUCCCCAGCCCUCAACUUUUGCCUCUGUAACCCUAAAUACAAAGCCUUUUUAAGGCUGCUGGUUUUUUCCUUUGCAGGAUCUGUUGCAGAAGUCAGUAGUAAUUGCUCUCUCUUACUCCUUCCCUUCCUCCGUCUUCCAAUGUUUUCAUCUGUAAAUUAUGUUCAGCUCAGAUAUUCCACUUUUGUUUCCAUGACAAUCACUCUCAUAUAUAAACUUCCAUACUUUCCACUUCUGGUACAUCAUUUCACUCCUGGUAUAACAAUCCUUGGGAGUUAAUAAUCACCUUUGUUUUUCUUUUGAUUAUUUUUUGUGCUCCUCUUAAUAAUUUAACAUUGGUAAUGUUGCUAUUUAUAUGACUCAAAAAUGUUCUGACUUUGUUAAUUUUUGUUUCUUAUUUUUAUUUUAUCUUCUUGGAAAUUAAUAUCCAUCCUAGGCCCUUCUGACAUACUUGCAUCUGGACUAGGCUUCUGUAUCUGGAGCAGAAACAUGAUACCAGCUACUUGGGAGGCUAGGGUAGGAGGAUCACAAUUUUGAAGCUAAGCUGGGUAAGUAGUGUAAUUCUGUCUCAAAAACCAGGGAGAGGGCUGGGCUUGUGGCUCAGUGGUAGCGUGCUCGCCUAGCAUGUGUGAGGCCCUGGGUUCGAUCCUCAGCACCAUAUAAAAAUAAAGGCAAUAAAGUCAACCAACAACUAAAAAAAUAUUUAAAAAAAAAGAAAACAGUGAGAGGCAGUGGGCUGGGGAUAUAAUCAGUGAGAGCAUCCCUGGGCUCUAUCCUGAGGAGCAAACAUGCAAGCACACACACAACUAAAUUAGUAUCAGGAUUCACUUUUUUAUUGCAGCAACUCCAAGUUAACUAUUGAAAUGAUUUUGGGGGGCAGUACUGGGUACUGGGGAUUCAACUCAGGGAUGCUUUACCACUGAGAAACAUCUGUAGUCUUUUUGUUUUGAGACAGGGUCUCCUUAAGAUGUUGAGGUUGACUUUGAACUUGCAAUCCUUCUGCCUUAGCAUCCCAAGUCACUGGGAUUACAGGUGGGCACCACUCUACCCAUGAUUAAAAUCAUAUUUAAAUAGAUAAUAACAUACUCUUAAACUAUAAGCACAUGGUGUAUAUCAGAUCUUUAGUAUUUAUCCAUCUUGCAAAAUGGAAACUAUGUCCUUUCAACAAAACCUCCCCAUCCUCUGCCCUGGCAACCAGCAUUCUGUUUGCAGAUUCUAAGAGUGUGACUGCUUUAGACACUUUAUAAGUGGAAUCUUGGAGUAUUUGUGACCUCCUUGCUUCCAUGAGGCCAGAAGUGCACAGUACAAACUGCAGUCUCUGAAUGUGAAAACUUAAAUAUAAUGAGCAUAAUUGGAUUCUAAGGUCGACAAGUGGUGGCACUCAGUAGCCAAAGGCCUUAAGGUGAAUGUGGCUUCUGUAAUGGACACCAGCCAUAGCAACAGUCAGAGUAGUGUGGCUGGUGCCCUGAUGGCAUUAGCUUUAUAUCACUUGUCCUGAUAUUCCUAGAAGUGAAACAGUUACAAAGCCUACUUAUUUCUUACUUCAUGUAUAUAAACUAAACAUUUCUAGGACAAAUGAACACACAUCUACCUUGGUUCAUAAGAACACAGACACAAUCCCUCCAUCAUCUGCCAGACUUGAGCCAGUUUACACACACAGAACCCUGGAAUGAAGGGAAGUCAGCUUCCUUGAGGAAGGAUUCCUUUCAAUGCACUACUGAAAAUUCCUACAGUUCAUCUUACUCCCAGCCUUCAUCAAGGGACCCUAUGUGCUAUUAGUAGGGAAACUGUGCAUUGGGGAAAAGGAAAUAAUCAAAUAUUUUAUUAUUGGACAUUGACUCUAAAUUAACACUCGUUUCCAGAGACACCAAAUAUCACUAUGGCUCCCUGGUCCAAACAGGAACUUAUGGAGAUCAGAAAAUCAAUGGAGUUUUAGCUCAGUUUCUUUUCAAAGUGGACCAAAAUGUUAACCCAUUCUGUGGUUAUCCCACAGUUCCUAAAUGCAUAAUGCAAUAAACCAUUUCAGCAACAGGCAAGGUCUCCAGGUUUACAUAUUGAUGUUAGAAUGGGGGCUGUUGUGGUGGGAAGGCACCACCUUCUAGCAGAAGCUGCUUGAAAUGCCUCUACCUAAGCAAAUAAUACUGCACUCCUGGAUAGACUGCAAAGAUUAGUGCUACCAACAAGGAUCUAAAAAAUACAGGGGUGGUGAUUGCUACCCCAACCCCAUUCAACUCAACUGUCUGACUUCUGCUGCAGAAAGAGGAAUUUGAAGAAUCACAGUGGAUUGUUGUAAUCUUAACAAGGAGCACCCUCCAAUCGCAACUACUAUGUCAGAUGUGGUUUUAUUGCUUGAGCAAAAUAACACAUCCCCUGGAAACUGAUAUGCAGCUAUUAACCUAGAAAACACCUUUUUUUUGGGGGGGGGGAUGCUAAAUAACCAACCCAAGGACUAUUUACCAAUGAGCUACAUGCCCAGCCCUUUUUAUUUUUUAUUUUGACACAAGGGAUCGCUAAGUUGUUGAGGCUGGCCUCAAACCUCAUGAAUUUCUAGAAUUACAGGUGCAUACCACCACACCUGAUUGGAAAAUGGCUUUAUCUCCAUUGUCGUCCAUAAUGCCUACAUUAGCAGUUUGUCUUUAGCUCUCAAGGACAGAAGAUACAUUCAUUCUCUCUCUCUCUCUCUCUCUCUCUCUCUCUCUCUCUCUCUCUCUCUCUCCUCUAUGAUGAAAAAAAAAUUGUAUUUAGAAUUAUCCAGCUGGAUGGAGUUUAAAUGACCCACAUUCUGUUGGCAACAUCCAAAGCAACACAAUUAGGAGCAGUUGAGCAUGUACCUCAGACAGGAUAUUUGGGCUACCUCCAGAGCAGCAAUGAAGGGUCCAUUGGAAGAUGGGUCAUGGGUGGAUCUUUCUUUCUUGGUGCUGCUAGGGAUUAAACCCAGGCUUUCCACAUACUAAGCCUGCAUUCUACCUCUAAGCUACACCCUCAACCCUUGUAUUUAUUUGUUUUGAAUCUCUGGAUGCCUUUCAGUUCUGCUUUCCUGGUCUUCAAAGUCUUGACUUUGGCUUUGGGAAGAACAGGAGUUUUCUUCUUUGCUUUCAGAGAUACUUUAGUGAAGAGGGCACAUUUGCUAUCUCAUUCCAGAAGAUAUCCUAAGACCUGUGUCAUAAUUUGGUUCAGAAGAAUCUUUUUCUUGACAUCGAGUUUUGCUGUGUUACCCAGGCUCACCUUGAACUUGCAAUCCUCCUGCCUUAGCUUCCUGAGUUGGUUGAUUUAUAGGCACAAACUCUCUAACCUAUUAGGGUUUUAAUGGCUUUCCCUUUCAGAAGAAGCCAUGAUUUUCUGUUGUAUUGAUAACAUUAUGCUGAUUGGAUCUAGGGACUGAGAAGUAGUAAGACACUUGCAUGUUACAAGGGAAAAAUAUAUUUGACAAAAUUUAGGGUCUUCUAUCUCAUUAAAAGAGAAAUCCAAUGUUAGGAGUAAUGGAAAGAUAUUCCUUCUAAAGUGAGGGAGGAGUCAUUGCAUCUGGCCCCUCCUAUAAAUAUCAAGGAGGCACAAUGCCUAGUAGGUCUCUGAAUUUUGGAGGCAGAACAUUAUUCAUGUGGCGGUGCUACUCUAGGCCAUUUACGGAGUGAUCUGAAAAGCUCCUACUUUUGAGUUGGGCUCAGAACAAUAGAAAGCUCUACAAUAGCUGCAGGCUGCUGUGCCAGUGGCAGGUAGGAAUGCUGUCUAGAACCUCUAUCAGCCCCACUAUGUGAAUUGAUGUGCAGGUCCCUAAGAUGUUGAGGCAAAACCCUGCUAUAUCCCCAGGUAACUUCUUUCCAUUUGAGAAAUUGAAGUUGGCUUUCCACUAGCAGCCUCUGCCACUGAAACUGAACAGUUAACCUUGGCAACCAAGUUACCAUAUGAUCUGAGCUGUCCAUCAUGUGCUACAUUUAUCUGACUCAACAAGUUGUAAACUUGUGUGUACAUAGGAGCAUUCCAGUGUUACAAGCUCACGGUGUAUAUGAGUUCAGGCCUGAGCAGGCUCUGAAGGCAGAAGUCAAAUACAUGAAGAAGUACCCCAGACAUCCAUGCCUAUCACUGCUGCUCUACUACCUCCUCUCCCAAUCUGUACCUUUGGUCUCAUAUCCCUAUGCCCAAGUGACAGAGAAAGAGAAAUCAUGGUCCUGAUUGACAGAUGGUUCUACAUGAUAUGCAGACAGCAUGCACAAGUGUACAGCUGCCAUACUGCAUUCUGUUCCUGGGACAUCCCUGAAUGACCCUGAUGGAUGGCACCCUCCCAGUGGGCAGAAUUGGAAGCAGGAGAGCUGGCUGUUAACUUGUCUUCUAGAGAAAAAGGCCAAAUGUGUAAUUAUAUAUCAAUUUAUGUGACCAAUGGAUUUGCUAAUGGAUGUCAAGAUCUUGGAAGGAAUAUUAUAGUAAUUUAGUAACAAGGAACUUUGAAGAAACGGGUGAAUUCAGUAGAGGAAGAUUUUAACAGUGAAGUGGACGGGGUACAUAAUUUUAUAGAUUCCAGACAUCCUCUUUCCCCAGCCACUCUUCCUAUUGCCCAAUGGGCUGCUGAUAUAUGCGGUCAUGGUACCAUGGCUGGAGGUUUUGCACGAGCACAGCAACAAGGACUUACUUUUGCUUGCCAAGGCCAAGUUGGUUGUAGUCAGUCUGCCAGCAGCAGGAACAACUCUGAAUCCCCAUAUGGAAUACCAUUUCCCUUGGUGAAUAGAAGCUAUCUGUGGCAAGUCAAUUACACUGGACAGCUACCAUCCCUGAAGCAGCAGUGUUUUCUUCUUGUUGGAAUAGACAAUUACCCUCUAUGGAUUUACCUUCCCUACAGGCGAUGCUUUUGCCAAAAUUUUGUCUGUGGGUUAUAGAAUACCUUUGGCAUCAUCGUGAUGUUCCACAUGGCAUUGCUUCUGAUCAAGGAAGUUACUUCAUAUCCAAAGAAGUAAAGCAAUGGGUUGGUGCUCAUGAAUGUCUUACCAUGCUCCCCACCAUCCUGAAGCAGGUGUCUUGGUAGAAUGGUGGAAGGGCUUUUUGAAGUCAGUUACAGUGCUAACAAGCCUGCACUACCUUGCAAGGCAAGGUCAAGGUUCUCCAUAAGCCUGAAUAUGUUCUGAAUCAUUGUUCAAUAUAUAGUGCUAUUUCUCUCAGGCCAGGAAUCAAAUUGGAAAUGAAGUGGCCACAUGCUCUCUUGCCUCUAAGGACUUACUGGCAAAAUUUAUGCUUCCUGUACCAGUACCUUUGUGUUUUGCUGGCUUGAGGUUUAACAUCCACAGGCAGGAAUACUGCCACCACAAGACACAUUGAACUGAAAGUUAGGCCAAACCAACAGCCAAUCAACAGAGUUACUGUGCUGGCUGAAAUGAUGGAUGCUGACUAUUGAAGGCAAAUUGAACCACUAUCCCACAAUGGAAUGAGGGAAAUGGGUCUGGAGAGCAGUAAUCUCUGUGGCCCUCCUCAAAAUGAAAUUAGCUUUCAGCAUUUUGCAUUUGUACUUGUAUAUAUAUAUGACAGUUUUGACUUGCAUUUUUCUGAAUGCAAUCUUUAUCAUUUUAAAAUUUCAUUUUAAAAAUGUACAGUUAAACAAUGAGUGGUAUUCCUUAUUACAACAUAUUCAUAUAUGUGCACAAUUUAAUUUGGUCAAUUUCAUUUCUUAGUAACUCAUCAUUCUCUUACCUCCACUCUCCCACUAGUCACUUUCCUCUACUGGUCUCCAUUCUAAUUCCAUUACUUUCCCAUCCCUUCUGAGUGUGGCAUUUUGACUUAACAAACUUCUCAAGUUCCAUUCAUUCCCCUGCAAAUGGCAUAAUUCAUUCUUCUUUGUGGCUGAUAAAACACCAUUUUGUGUAUAUACCACUUUUUCUUCAUCCAUUCAUCUGUUGGCAGGCAUCUAGCGUGGCUCCAUAAUUUGUCUAUUGUGAAUUGUGCUGUAAUGAACAGUGAUAUGCAUGUGUUACUAUAGUAUACUCCCUUUAAUUCUUUUGGAUAAAUCAUAAAGAGUAGCAUAACUGAGUAUUAUGUUGGUUCCAUUUCUGGACUUUUGAAUCAGCCUCCAUACUGAUUUCCGUAGUGGUUGUACUAAUUUUCAGUCCCACUGACACUGAAUAAAUCUUUUUUCCACAACCUCAUCAGUAUUAUUAUUAUUUGUAUUCUUGAUGACUAUCAUUCUUACUAGAUUAAGACAAGAUUUCAGUGUAGAAUUGAUUUUUAUUUCCCUGAAUGCAAAUCCCUGUAGCAAAAAUGUUGAACAUUUUUAAAAGCCAUUUGUAUUUCUUCCUUUGAGAAAUAUUUAUUUGGUUCACUUAGCUUUUGGGGGGGUGGUACCAGGGAUUGAACCCAGAGACACUUAAGCACUGAGCCUCAUCCCCAACCGUUUUAAAAUAUUUUAUUUACAGACAGGGUCUCACUGUGUUGCUUAGGAGCUUGAUAAGUUGCUGAGGCUGUGUUUGAACUCACAAUCCUGCCUCAGCAUCAGAGCCAUGGGAUUACUGUCUUGUACCACCAAGCCUGGCUCAUUUAAUGAUUUAUUGAUUUUUUUUAGUUUUUGUGUUUUUUGAUUUCUUUAUAUAUUCUGAGUAUUAUCUUGUUGGAAGAGUAUCUGGCAAAGAUUUUCUCUCAUUCUGUAGGCUCUCUUUUCAUGGUCUGAAUAAUUUCCUUUGCUGUUCAGAACCUUCUUACUUUGAUGUCAUAUAUUUUAUUAAUUCUUGGUAUUAUGUCCUGAGCUCUAGGAAUCCUAAAGACAAAGUCAUUCUCUUUGCUUAUGUGGAAGAGUUUUACCCUGCUUUCUUCUAGCAAUUUCAAAGUUUUUCUUGUAAUUCCUGGGUAUUAUUUCCAUUUCACAUUGACUUUCCAACUGGGUGAGAUAUUGAAAUGUAGUUUCAUUCUUCUACCUUGGAUAUUCGUUUUUCCCAACACCAAUUUUUUAAAAGGCUGUUAUUUCUUUCAUGUAUGUUUUUGAUGCCUUUGUCAAAGAUCAGAUGACAGACAACAUCUGUCUGGAUUUGUCUCUCUGUAUUCUAUUCUGUUGCAUUGAUCUAUGCAUCUAUUCUUAUUUCAGUACCAUGCAGUUUUUGUUACUAUAGCUUUGGAGUAUAAUUUGAAGACAGGUAUUGUGAUGCUUCCAGAAUUUUUUUCUUAGAAUAUUUUUGGGACUGUUUUUGUGGGAGUUUUUUGUUUGUUUGUUUGUUUGCCAUGGAUAAUGUAAUUGAAUUUUGAUGGGAACUGCAUUGAAUCAGUAGAUUGCUUUUUGUAAUAUGGCCAUUUUAGCAAUACUAAUUCUGUGUGUCCAUGAACAUGGGAAAGCUUUUCAUCUUUUACUGGCUUCUCAAUAUUUUUCCUCAGUGUUGUUAAUUUUCAAUGUAGAGAUUCCUUAUUUGGGAUUUUUUAAUGUUGAUACUCAUAGUUAUAAACUUUCCUCUGACAGCUGCCUUCUUAGUCUCCUAGAGAUUGUGAUAUAUUUCUUUUCCGUUGAUGUAAAGAUUUUUAAAAGUUCUCCCCUGAUAUUUUCUAUCACUUGUUAAAAUGUCCAAAGUGUAUUGCUCAAUCUCAGUGUGUUUAUAUAGUUUCUAUAGUUUUUAUUGCUGUGGAUUUGUAUUGAUUACAUUAUGAUCUGAUAAGAUGAAAAUAAUUAUUAUUUUAUUUGCUAAGACUUGUUAUUUGAUGCAAUAUAUGAUCCAUUUUGGAGAAGCUUCCAUGAGCAGCUAAAAGUAACGUGAAUUUGGUUGUUGUUGGCUGAAAUAUUCUAAAGAUAUCUGUGGGGUACAUAUGAAUAAAUUUUUAGGCCUGAAGAAUCUUUUAUGAGUUUAUACCUGAAUGCCCUAUCUAUGUGAAAAUUGUGUUGAAAACACCUAGUAUUAUUAUAAUGCGG